rnacentral:rRNA from 1 species
UACGUAGGGGGCAAGCGUUGUCCGGAAUCAUUGGGCGUAAAGAGCGUGUAGGCGGCCUGGUAAGUCCGCUGUGAAAGUCCAGGGCUCAACCCUGGAAUGCCGGUGGAAACUGUCAGGCUCGAGUCCGGAAGAGGAGAGUGGAAUUCCUGGUGUAGCGGUGAAAUGCGCAGAUAUCAGGAGGAACACCCGUGGCGAAAGCGGCUCUCUGGGACGGUACUGACGCUGAGACGCGAAAGCGUGGGGAGCAAACAGG